CGAUGUAGGACGUGAUAAUAUCAACUUGCGAGCUAACCAGGAACUAAAUUGAUGCGCCGUUGAUCCGCUAGAUUUGGUAGGAUGCUGGUGGUGAGUUGCCGAACCCAACGAAUACAUUCUGAAGUCGGAUGGGGUGACGGAUUAGGGUGCCCCUCUAGCAGGGGAGAGCAGGGACUGCCUCGGGAAAGGGGGCCGCUGGC
rnacentral:lncRNA from 1 species